rnacentral:rRNA from 1 species
ACGGCUGAACCAGCAAUUUGGAAGAAUGUAACGAAAAAGGAUAAUAUUUCCUUUUUUAGUGGUUUAUCCGCAUAAAAUUCUAGAUAAAAAUUGAUAAUGACAAUUUUUUAUCUAUAAGUCUUGACAAAAUCACGUGCCAGCAGUCGCGGUAAUACGGGAAAGACGAGUGUUAUUCAUCUUUUAUAGGUUUAAAGGGUACCUAGACAGCUUAUUUAACCUUCUCAAGGAUACAAAUAAGCUAGAGUUUUAUGUAAGAGGUAUAUCAGUACUGACGGAGUAGAGAUAAAAUUCUCUGAUACUGUAGGGCACUGGUAAUGGCGAAGGCAACCCUUUAUGUGAAAACUGACGUUGAGGGACGAAGGCUUGGGUAACAAACAGGAUUAGAUACCCUAAUAGUCCAGGCAGACAAUGAUGAGUGCCAUAGGUUAGAAAUAAUUUGAUCUAUAAAUGAAAGUGUAAGCAUUCCACCUCAAGAGUAAUGUGGCAACGCAGGAACUGAAAUCAUUAGACCGUUUCUGGAACCAGUAGUGAAGUAUGUUAUUUAAUUCGAUGACCCACGAAUAACCUUACCAUAAUUUGAAUAUUAUACUAAUUUAUUACAAUUUCCAAUAAGGAAAAACUGCAAUAAAUUAUUUAUAAUACAGGUGCUGCACGGCUGUCUUUAGUUAAUGUCGUGAGACGCAGGUUAGAUCCAUAAAUUAACGUAAGCCCUUGC